rnacentral:rRNA from 1 species
CCUACGGGGGGCUGCAGUGGGGAAUAUUGGACAAUGGGGGGAACCCUGAUCCAGCCAUGCCGCGUGUGUGAAGAAGGCCCUCGGGUUGUAAAGCACUUUCAGUGAGGAAGAACGCCUGGUGGUUAAUACCCAUCAGGAAAGACAUCACUCACAGAAGAAGCACCGGCUAACUCCGUGCCAGCAGCCGCGGUAAUACGGAGGGUGCGAGCGUUAAUCGGAAUUACUGGGCGUAAAGCGCGCGUAGGUGGCUUGAUAAGCCGGUUGUGAAAGCCCCGGGCUCAACCUGGGAACGGCAUCCGGAACUGUCAAGCUAGAGUGCAGGAGAGGAAGGUAGAAUUCCCGGUGUAGCGGUGAAAUGCGUAGAGAUCGGGAGGAAGACCAGUGGCGAAGGCGGCCUUCUGGACUGACACUGACACUGAGGUGCGAAAGCGUGGGUAGCAAACAGGAUUAGAUACCCGUGUAGUC